CGGACGGGUGAGUAACGCGUGGGCAACCUGCCCCUGCACUGGGGGGACAACAGCCGGAAACGGCUGCUAAUACCGCAUAUGCCCCGCAGCCCCCGCAUGGGGGCGGGCGGGGGAAGCUCCGGCGGUGNAGGAUGGGCCCGCGUCUGAUUAGCUUGUUGGCGGGGCAACGGCCCACCAAGGCGACGAUCAGUAGCCGGCCUGAGAGGGUGGGCGGCCACAUUGGGACUGAGACACGGCCCAGACUCCUACGGAAGGCAGCAG
rnacentral:rRNA from 1 species